GGACAUAGCUCAGCAGCAGAACAGCUGCCUUGCACGCAGAAGGUCUCAGGUUCAUUCCCUGGUAUAUCCA